rnacentral:misc_RNA from 1 species
UCCGAGUUCUCCCCGGCAGUCCCCCACGAGUCCCCGGCAUAACCCGCUGGCAACAUGGGGCAAGGGUUGCGCUCGUUGCGGGACUUAACCCAACAUCUCACGACACGAGCUGACGACAGCCAUGCAGCACCUGUCACCGACCAAUUGAAGAGCUCCGUCUCCGGAGCCCCGAUCGGGAAGUCAAGGGCUGGUAAGGUUCUUCGCGUUGCAUCGAAUUAAACCACAUCAUCCACCGCUUGUGCGGGCCCCCGUCAAUUCCUUUGAGUUUCAGCCUUGCGGCCGUACUCCCCAGGCGGGGCACUUCAUGCGUUUGCGUCGGCCCCCAGGGGGUCGCUCCCCCAGAGACCUAGUGCCCAUCGUUUACGGCGUGGACUAC